rnacentral:lncRNA from 1 species
AGACUGACGGAGCAGCUGGAACACAAAGCAGUUCUUUACUUGCCCUGCUACGGAACUUUAGGAGAUUCUAACCAAAAUCACAAAGAGCUAUUUACAAAACAAGCUGUUUCUAACAUUUAUUUGUACAAGAAAAGUGUCAAGAAUAUCUAUGACAAAUAUGAUUUAUAGGAUAAGAUAUCAAACUUUAUAAGAAAUUUAUAACAAUUAAAACAGUGUGGCAGUUGCCUAUUAACAGAUAAAAAUAACCAAUGGUAUAAAACAGAGACUUCAGAAACAGAUCUGUGGCCAUUUUGAUAUUUGAAUACAGUCAAUCAGUGGGGAAAGAAUGAACUAUGCAAUACAUAAGGCUGAGGAAAUGAUAUUUAUUUUAAAAAAUAGUAAGAUCUUUGCAUAAUACCUACUCCAAACAAAUUCACAUGAAUUAAUAACCUAAAUGUGAGAAAGUAAAAUCUGUGUAUCCAAAAAUAUGUAACUACCUUUUCAUACCAAGGAGUAUAUGAUUUCUUAAAUUGGACACAAA